UAGGAGUUUCUUGAACCUGUUCGGUGUAUAAUAUCACUCGUCGAUCAUGUCCAGCGUCAGUGUUUUCUUGGCGGUGUUCUGUGUGAAUCUGGCAUUGUUGGACACACACCUGGUCUCUGGCUCAGGUAAUGGGGUUUAUCUUGUUAUCAUAAUCAAUAACUUCACAUGUUAUUUCGUGAAACAUCGUUACUCGAGACAGAUUUUCAUCAAGGCAAAGGUUCCUUGUCGACCUCACAUACUGCUUCUUAAAUUUCAGCUGUUCACAACAGUGGGUGUAGCGACCGGGUUUCAUUGCUGUGCGCAAGGCAUCUCCGCCAAGGCCACUGCGAGCAAGACAGGUGGAACCGUUAUUUGAAGAACAUCUGCAAAAAAACUUGCAACUUUUGUGGGAAUGAGGAGUGUGUGGAUGUGAACAGGGUCCUGUGUGAGGAGAACCAGAAACAGGGCGAGUGUCAGGAACCCACGCCCUUUACCCUCAACAUGUGCAAGAAGACUUGUGGAUUCUGUGAUGUCAGGAAGUGAGAGAACGUUGUCCCCGUCAGCAACUUCACCAACAGUACAUCUUCUUAACAUACAUCAUGUACACUCGUCAGAUAUAAAGAUCUGUUCAAUCUGA